rnacentral:rRNA from 1 species
CCUACGGGAGGCAGCAGUGAGGAAUAUUGGACAAUGGGCGCAAGCCUGAUCCAGCCAUGCCGCGUGCAGGAUGACGGUCCUAUGGAUUGUAAACUGCUUUUGCACAGGAAGAAACCCUCCCACGUGUGGGAGAUUGACGGUACUGUGAGAAUAAGGAUCGGCUAACUCCGUGCCAGCAGCCGCGGUAAUACGGAGGAUCCAAGCGUUAUCCGGAAUCAUUGGGUUUAAAGGGUCCGUAGGCGGUUUAGUAAGUCAGUGGUGAAAGCCCAUCGCUCAACGGUGGAACGGCCAUUGAUACUGCUAGACUUGAAUUAUAAGGAAGUAACUAGAAUAUGUAGUGUAGCGGUGAAAUGCUUAGAUAUUACAUGGAAUACCAAUUGCGAAGGCAGGUUACUACUUAUGGAUUGACGCUGAUGGACGAAAGCGUGGGUAGCGAACAGGAUUAGAUACCCUGGUAGUCCACGCCGUAAACGAUGGAUACUAGCUGUUGGGAGUAAUCUCAGUGGCUAAGCGAAAGUGAUAAGUAUCCCACCUGGGGAGUACGUUCGCAAGAAUGAAACUCGAAAGGAUUAGACGGCUGAGACCGNGCGAGACGACGACGAGGGAGGAGG